AUUGAACGCUGGCGGCAGGCUUAACACAUGCAAGUCGAGCGGAGACUUCGGUCUUAGCGGCGAACGGGUGAGUAAUACCUAGGAAUCUGCCUAUUAGUGGGGGAUAACGAAUCGAAAGGUUCGCUAAUACCGCAUACGUCCUACGGGAGAAAGGGGGGGAUCUUCGGACCUCUCGCUAAUAGAUGAGCCUAGGCCGGAUUAGCUAGUUGGUAGGGUAAAGGCCUACCAAGGCGACGAUCUGUAGCUGGUCUGAGAGGAUGGCCAGCCACACUGGAACUGAGACACGGUCCAGACUCCUACGGGAGGCAGCAGUGGGGAAUAUUGGACAAUGGGGGCAACCCUGAUCCAGCCAUGCCGCGUGUGUGAAGAAGGCCUCGGUUGUAAGGUACACUUUAAGCGAGGAGGAGGGUUUUAGGUUUAAGUU
rnacentral:rRNA from 1 species